rnacentral:rRNA from 1 species
ACCAGACUCCUACGGGAGGCAGCAGUGGGGAAUAUUGCACAAUGGGGGAAACCCUGAUGCAGCGACGCCGCGUGAGUGAAGAAGUAUUUCGGUACGUAAAGCUCUAUCAGCAGGGAAGAAAAAAAGUCCUUUGGACUUUGGACGGUACCUGACUAAGAAGCCCCGGCUAACUACGUGCCAGCAGCCGCGGUAAUACGUAGGGGGCAAGCGUUAUCCGGAUUCACUGGGUGUAAAGGGGGCGCAGAUGGCGAUGCAAGCCAGGAGUGAAAGCCCGGGGCCCAACCCCGGGACUGCUCUUGGAACUGCGCGGCUGGAGUGCAGGGGGGGCAGGCGGAAUUCCUGGUGUAGCGGUGAAAUGCGUAGAUAUCAGGAGGAACACCGGUGGCGAAGGCGGCCUGCUGGACUGCAACUGACGUUGAGGCCCGAAAGCGUGGGGAGCAAACAGGAUUAGAUACCCUGGUAC